rnacentral:rRNA from 1 species
GUUGGGUUAAGUCCCGCAACGAGCGCAACCCUUGAUCUUAGUUGCCAUCAUUAAGUUGGGCACUCUAAGGUGACUGCCGGUGACAAACCGGAGGAAGGUGGGGAUGACGUCAAAUCAUCAUGCCCCUUAUGACCUGGGCUACACACGUGCUACAAUGGACGGUACAAAGAGCUGCAAGACCGCGAGGUGGAGCUAAUCUCAUAAAACCGUUCUCAGUUCGGAUUGUASGCUGCAACUCGCCUACAUGAAGCUGGAAUCGCUAGUAAUCGCGGAUCAGCAUGCCGCGGUGAAUACGUUCCCGGGCCUUGUACACACCGCCCGUCACACCACGAGAGUUUGUAACACCCGAAGUCGGUGGGGUAACCUUUUUGGAGCCAGCCGCCUAAGGUGGGACAGAUGAUUGGGGUGAAGUCGUAACAAGGUAGCCGUAUCGGAAGGUGCGGCUGGAUCACCUCCUUUCUGCGGCCGCUUAUAU